rnacentral:rRNA from 1 species
GCAGUAGCCGCGGGAAUACGAGGGGGGCAAGCGUUGUUCGGAAUUAUUGGGCGUAAAGGGUGCGUAGGCGGUUUGACAAGUCAUCUGUGAAAUCUAUGGGCUCAACCCAUAGUCUGCAGGCGAAACUGUCGGGCUUGAGUAUGGGAGAGGUGAGUGGAAUUUCCGGUGUAGCGGUGAAAUGCGUAGAUAUCGGAAGGAACACCUGUGGCGAAAGCGGCUCACUGGACCAUAACUGACGCUGAGGCACGAAAGCUAGGGGAGCAAACAGGAUUAGAUACCCGAGUAGUCCCUGUCUCUUAUAC